CUGGCCACCGGUGGACUCGCCCGAGCCGGAUAGAUGUCUCCAGUGUCAGUAGCGCGCGGUCCGCCAUGGAUGCCGGGUGUCUGCCGUACUCGGUUAUCGGUAGCCUAGUCCUGGUUUCCUCCCUGGAGAUUCUUCUGGUGGCGCUCGCUCCUCUCUUGUUGGACCUCGACUAGCUCUCUUCUAGGUGGAAUUAUCGAUUUGAUGUGCACAGUGGAUUUGAGAUGGAAGGAGGGUUUAUCUUUAUCACAGUUGUCUGUGGACUGGUCGUCUUCUCCACCAUGGAGAUAUUCAUCAUCGUGUUGGCUCCCCUGGUUUUUGACAUAGACACUCAUGCUCUCUACUGUGACUUCAUCACGAGGUGAAUUGACAGACCUGACAAUUGUGAGUUCAUAAUGAAGUGCUUCCUUACAUGAUACGAGCUCCACCUUAGUUAUAAUUGAAACUAUAUUAAAAUAACUUCAAUUGAUCACUUUGUUAGUGACUUAACUUGUAGAGUACUAAAGUUAACUCAGAAUAAUUUUUUGAAAUGUACAGUAGUUAUGUUUGCUAUCUAUGCGCAAAAACUAACAUGUACUUAUGUAUGUUAUGUAAUGUAGAGUUCUCCAAAUAGUGGUACUAUUUGUUAGUCAGUUAGUUAGAUAAAUUAGUUAGAAAAAGAACAGCCAAGUAAUAUACUGAUGAAUGAAUGUGUUUGCUAUACAAAGUUAAAACAAAGCUGGAACUUAAAAAAAACCUCGAACUUAAGAGUUAAAAUGUUACUGUUAAAUGUUACUUACAUAGUAAUGUGAAAUAUAAUGUUAAAUAGAAAAAAAUUGAAUGAAUGUGUUAACAAUACAAUGUUAUAACAGCAUUGGGACUUAUGAAAAACCUCGAUCUUAACAGGCAACAUGGGCAUGUUACAGUACUGUGAAAUAUAAUGAUAAAAUAGAAGAAGGGAGGACAUUAUCAAGAAAGUUUUAUUAACAUAUUUAUGAAACAAGCUGCUUGUAUAAUAUUUCCUCCAUCUUCCAAAUGUAGUUCCCAAAAGUGUCUACGAAACAUCAUUAAGUUACUUUUAAUAUUUGUGUGUACAGUUAAGAAAUAACAUUAUAAGUUAUUGUUUAUCUCUUAUUACUAAGAAUUCUAUAAACAGUAAAAGAUAUUUAAUUUACUUACACAAAUAGGUAAUCUUAAUUAUCUGUGAGGAAAGGGCUGUAACUAGUCAGCCUGUUGAUGGACGUGUAUAACACUUAUUUUAAUAUUUAUAACCAUUGGUAUCAAUGUCAAUGUCACGUUGGUGAAUGUGAAAGAGCUGCUUGCCUGUUAUAUGUAUAAUUUGUUAAUGAUAACAAUCUGUGAUAUUAAAACUAUAUACACUGCCUCUGAUUAAAAAAUGUCAAUACUAUAUCUCUACUAAAUAUAAUUCUUAAUAUCUGUAACUAUUUAUUUUAAUUUGGUUACCUUAUAAUUAAAUGAAAUAAUUCCGAUAGGUACUAGUUGAUGGGAGUGUGUUUUAACACUUUUAAGGAUCUAUUGUAUGGGUAUGUGCAUACAGGGCAAAAUGUUAGCACACAUGUGGGCAUUCCACAACUUACAGUUGAGUUGAGUGACACUGAUCAACAAUUCAACACAUUUGCUGAAAUAUUCAUUGUUUUUAUUUUUGUACAAUUGCUUUUUAAGGAUCACACACAUGGAAGUUAAUUUCUGUGAGAACUAUGACAUUGAACAUUUUGACCUUUCGAUUGUAAUAGGAUAUUAUGCAAGCCAAGAAGAACAAGUAUUUCAAGUGAAAUCUAGGAAAUUGAGUUUUUGUUUACAUGACUCUGGUCAAUCUGAGAAAAAUGGUUUGGUUUUAAAAUGUUAAGUAAGGGUCAUGGACAUUUUCAUAGAAAUGUUUUCAAUAAAAUAAUUUACAAGGUCUAAGUCCAAGAAACAAUGAGCAUACUAAGGUUGAUUAGGUUACACAAAGAACACAGCUCUGGCUUUAUUAAGCUGUGGAAACAAGCAAGGUUGAGUUGUAGUAGUUUGUAGUAGUAUUGUUAUUACACAACAAAAUAAUCAAUAAAUUAUUUAGGAUUUGAUGAAAA
rnacentral:lncRNA from 1 species